rnacentral:rRNA from 1 species
UGGGGAAUAUUGGACAAUGGGCGCAAGCCUGAUCCAGCCAUGCCGCGUGUGUGAAGAAGGCCUUUUGGUUGUAAAGCACUUUAAGCGAGGAGGAGGCUACUUGGAUUAAUACUCUAAGAUAGUGGACGUUACUCGCAGAAUAAGCACCGGCUAACUCUGUGCCAGCAGCCGCGGUAAUACAGAGGGUGCGAGCGUUAAUCGGAUUUACUGGGCGUAAAGCGUGCGUAGGCGGCUUCUUAAGUCGGAUGUGAAAUCCCUGAGCUUAACUUAGGAAUUGCAUUCGAUACUGGGAAGCUAGAGUAUGGGAGAGGAUAGUAGAAUUCCAGGUGUAGCGGUGAAAUGCGUAGAGAUCUGGAGGAAUACCGAUGGCGAAGGCAGCCAUCUGGCCUAAUACUGACGCUGAGGUACGAAAGCAUGGGGAGCAAACAGG